rnacentral:rRNA from 1 species
UAGAUACCCUGGUAGUCCUAGCUGUAAACGAUGAGUGCCAGGUGUUGGGUCCUUUCCGGGGUUUAGUGCCGCAGCUAACGCAUUAAGCACUCCGCCUGGGGAGUACGACCGCAAGGUUGAAACUCAAAGGAAUUGACGGGGGCCCGCACAAGCGGUGGAGCAUGUGGUUUAAUUCGAAGCAACGCGAAGAACCUUACCAGGUCUUGACAUCCCUCUGACCACUCUAGAGAUAGAGUUUUCCUUCGGGACA